rnacentral:rRNA from 1 species
UAGCUGAUCAGCCAUGCCGCGUGUGUGAGAAGGUCUUCGGAUUGUAAAGCACUUUAAGUUGGGAGGAAGGGCAGUAAGUUAAUACCUUGCUGUUUUGACGUUACCAACAGAAUAAGCACCGGCUAACUUCGUGCCAGCAGCCGCGGUAAU